CAGAGCUCCUCACCUCGGACCCCAGGGAACCAGGAAUCAUGAACUCCUGAGUCCCUGACACCUGGACACACAGGACUGGGAGGAACCUGAGGAAUCACAGAAUCCCGGGAUCCCUGAGAGCGAUGGGCAGGUGGGACCGUUCCUGGUGCAGAAACAGGAGAGGAAGGACAGGAGAAGGAGGUGACAGGAGCUCAGACCUAUGCACUGCUGGAGAUGGGAAGAGAAAUCCAUCUGUCCUUACCUGAAUUGCUGUCCAGCCUCGGCUGCCCUCCUAACCUGCAACACAGGGAAGGGCACGGUCAGGAAACGGAUCAUUUGAUUUCCCAUAAAGUGAAGGAUCUACUCCCCCA